CUCCGCAUGGCGAGCGACGUGGUGCCGGCGCUGCUCGCGUCGGCGCGCGGCGACCUCUCCGGCGCCGAGAUCGCGUUCGACCCGCGCGCGGCGG
rnacentral:tRNA from 1 species